rnacentral:rRNA from 1 species
CUACCGGGGUUUCUAAUCCUGUUUGCUCCCCUAGCUUUCGCGCCUCAGCGUCAGAAGAGGUCCAGCCGUUCGCUUUCGCCACCGGCGUUCCUUCCGAUAUCAACGCAUUUCACCGCUCCACCGGAAGUUCCAACGGCCCCUACCUCGCUCGAGACCGCCAGUAUCCAGGGCUGUUUUCCGGUUAAGCCGAAAGAUUUCACCCCGGACUUGGCAGUCCGCCUACGCGCCCUUUAAGCCCAGUGAUUCCGAACAACGUUCGCACGGUUCGUCUUACCGCGGCUGCUGGCAC